rnacentral:rRNA from 1 species
AUUGAACGCUGGCGGCAUGCUUUACACAUGCAAGUCGAACGGUAACAGGUUAAGCUGACGAGUGGCGAACGGGUGAGUAAUGCAUCGGAACGUGCCCGAUCGUGGGGGAUAACGCAGCGAAAGCCGCGCUAAUACCGCAUACGAUCUGAGGAUGAAAGCGGGGGACCGUAAGGCCUCGCGCGAUCGGAGCGGCCGAUGUCAGAUUAGGUAGUUGGUGGGGUAAAGGCUCACCAAGCCAACGAUCUGUAGCUGGUCUGAGAGGACGACCAGCCACACUGGGACUGAGACACGGCCCAGACUCCUACGGGAGGCAGCAGUGGGGAAUUUUGGACAAUGGGCGAAAGCCUGAUCCAGCAAUGCCGCGUGCAGGAAGAAGGCCUUCGGGUUGUAAACUGCUUUUGUACGGAGCGAAAAGGUUCUCUCUAAUACAGAGGGCUCAUGACGGUACCGUAAGAACAAGCACCGGCUAACUACGUGCCAGCCGCCGCGGUAA